rnacentral:lncRNA from 1 species
ACACUGUGACUUCACAGUACUGGUAGCUAAUUUACUGUAUGCUGAUUGCUGAGUCGAUAGGGUGUCAAGUUUUGUGGACCCUACACGCAACAGCCUUCAUAUGCUUGUAUAAUAAUAAGCUGAGAACAAAUUGAGCAGGUUAAUCUGAAGUUGCGAAAUAUAGACAGAAAUAUUUGGCUGCUUUCCUUGUCUAUCCAUGGAAUAGCUUCUUUUUUUGAAAAUUUCAUGGAAUAGCUUCUUGCUUCAGCAAACGUGAGGC